CAGUAGCCGCGGGAAUACGAAGGGGGCUAGCGUUGUUCGGAAUCACUGGGCGUAAAGGGUGCGUAGGCGGGCGACUCAGUCAGGGGUGAAAUCCCGAGGCUCAACCUCGGAACUGCCUUUGAUACUGGUUGUCUUGAGUCCGGAAGAGGUGAGUGGAACUGCGAGUGUAGAGGUGAAAUUCGUAGAUAUUCGCAAGAACACCGGUGGCGAAGGCGGCUCACUGGUCCGGAACUGACGCUGAGGCACGACAGCGUGGGGAGCAAACAGGAUUAGAGACCCCCGUAGUCCCUGUCUCUUAUAC
rnacentral:rRNA from 1 species